rnacentral:rRNA from 1 species
UACGAAGGGGGCGAGCGUUGUUCGGAUUUACUGGGCGUAAAGGGCGCGUAGGCGGCCCACCAAGUCAGGCGUGAAAGCCCCGGGCUCAACCUGGGAACGGCGCUUGGGACUGAUGGGCUGGAGUUCGGGAGAGGAGAGUGGAAUUCCCAGUGUAGAGGUGAAAUUCGUAGAUAUUGGGAAGAACACCGGUGGCGAAAGCGGCGCACUGGACCACAACUGACGCUGAGGCGCGAAAGCUAGGGGAGCGAACGGG